rnacentral:misc_RNA from 1 species
UCCUGGUUUCCCAGGCAGUCCCAUCAGAGUGCCUUGCAAAGCAAGUAGCAACUGACGGCAAGGGUUGCGCUCGUUAGAGGACUUAACCUAACAUCUCACGACACGAGCUGACGACAGCCAUGCAGCACCUGUGCACCUGUCCGAACCGAAAUUCGAAAAACCAUAUUUCUAUGGCGGUCAAGUGCAUGUCAAGUCCAGGUAAGGUUCCUCGCGUAGUGUCGAAUUAAACCACAUGUUCCACCGCUUGUGCGGACCCCCGUCAAUUCCUUUAAGUUUUAAUCUUGCGAUCGUAUUCCCCAGGCGAAUCACUUAACGCGUUAGCUACGAUACCAACCCAGCUAGGCCGGGCUGACAUCUAGUGAUUAUCGUUUACGGCGUGGACUAC